rnacentral:rRNA from 1 species
GAUGAACGCUGGCGGCGUGCCUAAUACAUGCAAGUCGAGCGAACAGACGAGGAGCUUGCUCCUCUGACGUUAGCGGCGGACGGGUGAGUAACACGUGGAUAACCUACCUAUAAGACUGGGAUAACUUCGGGAAACCGGAGCUAAUACCGGAUAAUAUAUUGAACCGCAUGGUUCAAUAGUGAAAGACGGUUUUGCUUUCACUUAUAGAUGGAUCCGCGCCGCAUUAGCUAGUUGGUAAGGUAACGGCUUACCAAGGCAACGAUGCGUAGCCGACCUGAGAGGGUGAUCGGCCACACUGGAAGUGAGACACGGUCCAGACUCCUACGGGAGGAAGCAGUAGGGAAUCUUCCGCAAUGGGCGAAAGCCUGACGGAGCAACGCCGCGUGAGUGAUGAAGGUCUUCGGAUCGUAAAACUCUGUUAUUAGGGAAGAACAAAUGUGUAAGUAACUAUGCACGUCUUGACGGUACCUAAUCAGAAAGCCACGGCUAACUACGUG